UACGUAGGGUGCGAGCGUUUAAUCGGAAUUACUGGGCGUAAAGCGUGCGCAGGCGGUUUUGUAAGACAGGCGUGAAAUCCCCGGGCUCAACCUGGGAACGGCGCUUGUGACUGCAAGGCUAGAGUACGGCAGAGGGGGUGGAAUUCCACGUGUAGCAGUGAAAUGCGUAGAGAUGUGGAGGAACACCGAUGGCGAAGGCAGCCCCCUGGGCCGAUACGUGACGCUGAGGAGCGAAAGCGUGGGGAGCGAACAGG
rnacentral:rRNA from 1 species